rnacentral:rRNA from 1 species
GAUGAACGCUGGCGGCGUGCCUAACACAUGCAAGUCGAACGGAGAUUACGGACGGAAGUUUUCGGAUGGAAGACUGUAAUUCUUAGUGGCGGACGGGUGAGUAACGCGUGGGCAACCUGCCCUAUACAGGGGGAUAGCAGCUGGAAACGGCUGGUAAGACCGCAUAAGUCGGCGAGACCGCAUGGUUUUGCCGGGAAAUGAGCAAUCAGGUAUAGGAUGGGCCCGCGUCCGAUUAGCCAGUUGGCAGGGUAAAAGCCUACCAAAGCAACGAUCGGUAGCCGGAAUGAGAGGUCGGACGGACACAUUGGGACUGAGACACGGCCCAAACUCCUACGGGAGGCAGCAGUGGGGGAUAUUGCACAAUGGAGGAAACUCUGAUGCAGCGACGCCGCGUGAGUGAAGAAGUAUUUCGGUAUGUAAAGCUCCAUCAGCAGGGAAGAUGAUGACGGUACCUGACUAAGAAGCCCCGGCUAACUACGUG